GGUUCUAUAGUGUAGUGGCUAGCACUCGGGAUUCUGAAGUACCAGAGUAUUCCCGCAACCCCGGUUCGAUCCCGGGUAGGACCU
rfam:Macrophomina phaseolina MS6 contig00031, whole genome shotgun sequence.